GACGAACGCUGGCGGCGUGCCUAAUACAUGCAAGUUGAGCGAUGAAGAUUGGUGCUUGCACCAAUUUGAAGAGCAGCGAACGGGUGAGUAACGCGUGGGGAAUCUGCCUUUGAGCGGGGGACAACAUUUGGAAACGAAUGCUAAUACCGCAUAACAACUUUAAACAUAAGUUUUAAGUUUGAAAGAUGCAAUUGCAUCACUCAAAGAUGAUCCCGCGUUGUAUUAGCUAGUUGGUGAGGUAAAGGCUCACCAAGGCGAUGAUACAUAGCCGACCUGAGAGGGUGAUCGGCCACAUUGGGACUGAGACACGGCCCAAACUCCUACGGGAGGCAGCAGUAGGGAAUCUUCGGCAAUGGACGAAAGUCUGACCGAGCAACGCCGCGUGAGUGAAGAAGGUUUUCGGAUCGUAAAACUCUGUUGGUAGAGAAGAACGUUGGUGAGAGUGGAAAGCUCAUCAAGUGACGGUAACUACCCAGAAAGGGACGGCUAAUUACGUG
rnacentral:rRNA from 1 species